rnacentral:rRNA from 1 species
GGAAGUGGGGAUGACGUCAAGUCCUCAUGGCCUUUAUGCCCAGGGCUACACACGUGCUACAAUGGGCGGUACAAAGAGAAGCAACCUCGCGAGGGUGAGCAAAUCUCAAAAAGCCGUUCUCAGUUCGGAUUGAAGUCUGCAACUCGACUUCAUGAAGUUGGAAUCGCUAGUAAUCGCGGAUCAGCAUGCCGCGGUGAAUACGUUCCCGGGCCUU